GACAUUUUUCGACAGCUGUCCGGAAGUAGUAAAUCGAAAGUGAAAGUAAACGAGACUUUCCGACCCUAUGGUGACGUCUCCAUAUGAGUGAAAUAUUCUCGAGUCGUUAUCAAUUCUGAUGCUUUCAGGCCUGACAAUCUUAUUCUAGCCUUAAAUAUGAGCGAAGGAUGGAUAUCCAUGUUAGGACAUUUGGAGAAAUAUAACUACUGAAAUAGGAGUUUGUUCGGAGGGCACAUCUUUUUCCCAGCCGUGCGUACAUGGGUGUUUAGCAAAACCACUUUCAACCCGAAGGCAGGCAGAGAGUUGUGGGAUUCGGAUGUACGGAGGUCCAAGCGGGUAUUGUGCUACAUUAUGGAAGGGCGUGGUGUAGCUCCAUCAAGGAUAACCCGAGACUUUGGAGGCAUCGGAACCCUGGUGUAUAGUCGGGAGUUGACGAUAGCUCGUGCAAGGCUUGCAUGGUGGUGGAGUGUUUUUCAUUCUGGGCGUGCUUAUCGCAAGUUGGCGGGAAACCGGAACAGUGUCUUCGGAGUACAGAAUAGUUGCAUUAAAAAAUUAAAAUGACUCAAAAUUUAGAAACAAAAACAAAGAAUAUUAUAUUACAGAAAAGGAGAAUUGAAUUUAUAUAAUUUAUUUAUUUAAUUAAUAAAUUUCUUAUUGU